GUUCAACUCCUCCUCCAGCAGAUAAUUUUGUCCCUCUGUUAGGGCAGCAGCUUCUGGGUGAUGUGAUAUGCAGCAGUGUUAUGAGGAACUGUGAGAAUGUGAAUCAGGCACUCUGGAGCCUUUAGACAGCAGUGCUGGCUAGGGCCCUGGGAGCAAAGGAGGUAUCAUUGAUUUCAUUCAACCAUGUGCAUCCUGUGUCAGAGAAGAGACCAAAAUCCCUAGAAUGUGCUGGAAGUUGACAGAAAUCAGCUAACAAAUUAAGGAGCAUCAAACGGCAAAGGGUAAUAAGAGUCUGUGAAACACAAUAGAUGUGUUUUGAAGAACAUAGGCUGCUAACAGAAUGGAUUCCCACUGCCUCCCCACAAGUCAGCCAUGUAUGGAAAUCAAAAAUUCCACUCCAGUGAGCGCACUUCCCUGCUCUCAAAUGCCAGAAACCAUGGAGCAGCAAGCAGGCCUGUACCAUUACCACUGGCAGCAAGCAGUUUUAUAAUGAGUUUUGGAAAUUUGACUACUUGCCAGCCUCUGAUUCAUUAAUGUAAUAUUAGAAGAAAAUUAACAGAGGAAAUUGACCUCAGAGGACAUUUGGGGAGAAGGACAAGUCCAUGCUGAACCGAGUCAGCUACCAAGAAAGUGAAACCGGUUUGCCCAUGAGCCCGGGAGCUUUCAAGGUUCUUGCUUGCAAUGUGUACAUUCCAUCGUCUUAGCUGGUGACUGCUCCUGCUGUUGCUAUAGAGUGGAACUUUCAAGCACUGAUGUCUAUAAUAAGCUAGAUGAGCUCACUUGUUAAUGCUUUUUCCUUCCUGUUAUACUUUUCAGUAUGUUAAGCUGCUAUUUAACUUUGAAUUGUCACA